CGUGAGGAGGACGAGUCGUGAGGAGGACGAGUCGUGUGCAGAGAGAAAGUGGAAUAUUUUACCGGUAGUCCUUGAGCUCCAACGUCACCCAGCAGUCCUUGUUCACCCUCCUCGCCCUGAAAGACAACACGGACGGACAGACAGACGGACAGACAGAGAGACAGAGGGACAGCACCGUCACCACAGCGGACAGCGAACACACUGAGUCCAUUCUGCAGCAGCGUUCCUCCCAGCGUACGCUCCUCUCUCUGCACACCCCUCCAUCCUCCAUCCCACACAAACAGAGCCCUGUUUCUGUCAGGAAGCGACUCCCAGACUCUCCCCUAAAUAGCCAGAUUGAUUUAUUCAGGGAACGUUCACUCAGUGGAAGCCAAAACAAGCUGCUCCCACAGCAGCAGAUCUGAACAGCUCAGAUCUUAUACAGAGAUUCAAUACAUCCUGUUGUUGGAGGAGUUUAACCUGCAGAGUAGAGAAAGACUCUCAUCUGCUGGAUUAAAGCAGCUUCAACUGAGCUCAACUCAAUCUGUUGUUUCUUGAGAAGAGAUGAGCCCACGAACACUCGACCGGCCACAACCACAAACCUGCCGACGUGUA